GCCUGGAUGGCUCAGUCAGUAGAGCAUAGGACUCUUAAUCUCAGAGUUGUGAGUUCAAGCCCCAUUUGGGGGU
rnacentral:tRNA from 1 species